rnacentral:rRNA from 1 species
AGCUCCAAUAGCGUAUAUUAAAGUUGUUGCGUUUAAAAAACUCGUAGUUGGAUUGUUGCCGAGGACGACCGGUCCGCCCUCCGGGAGAACAUCUGGUUCGGCCUUGGCAUCUUCUUGGUGAACGUUGCUGCACACUUGAUUGCGUGCUGCGGUACCCAGGACUUUUACUUUGAGGAAAUUAAUGUGUUUCAAGCAGGCAGAUGCCUUGAAUACAUCAGCAUGGAAUAAUCAGAUAGGACCUUGGUUGUAUUUUAUUGGUUUCUAGCGCUGAGGCAAAGAUUAAUAGGGAUAGUUGGGGGCAUUCGUAUUUAACUGUCAGAGGUGGAAUUCUUGGAUUUGUUAAAGACGGACUACUGCGAAAGCAUUUGCCAAGGAUGUUUUCA